GACGAACGCUGGCGGCGUGCCUAAUACAUGCAAGUAGAACGCACAGUUUAUACCGUAGCUUGCUACACCAUAGACUGUGAGUUGCGAACGGGUGAGUAACGCGUAGGUAACCUGCCUGGUAGCGGGGGAUAACUAUUGGAAACGAUAGCUAAUACCGCAUAAUAUUAAUUAUUGCAUGAUAAUUAAUUGAAAGGUGCAAUUGCACCACUACCAGAUGGACCUGCGUUGUAUUAGCUAGUAGGUGAGGUAACGGCUCACCUAGGCGACGAUACAUAGCCGACCUGAGAGGGUGAUCGGCCAAACUGGGACUGAGACACGGCCCAGACUCCUACGGGAGGCAGCAGGAGGGAAUCUUCGGCAAUGGACGAAAGUCUGACCGAGCAACGCCGCGGGAGUGAAGAAGGGUGUCGGAUCGUAAAGCUCUGUUGUAAGAGAAGAACGGGUGUGAGAGUGGAAAGUUCACACUGUGACGGUAUCUUAACAGAAAGGGACGGCUAACUACGUG
rnacentral:rRNA from 1 species